GAUGUUAGCGGCGGACGGGUGAGUAACACGUGGGUAACCUGCCUGUAAGACUGGGAUAACUCCGGGAAACCGGAGCUAAUACCGGAUAGUUCCUUGAACCGCAUGGUUCAAGGAUGAAAGACGGUUUCGGCUGUCACUUACAGAUGGACCCGCGGCGCAUUAGCUAGUUGGUGGGGUAAUGGCUCACCAAGGCGACGAUGCGUAGCCGACCUGAGAGGGUGAUCGGCCACACUGGGACUGAGACACGGCCCAGACUCCUACGGGAGGCAGCAGUAGGGAAUCUUCCGCAAUGGACGAAAGUCUGACGGAGCAACGCCGCGUGAGUGAUGAAGGUUUUCGGAUCGUAAAGCUCUGUUGUUAGGGAAGAACAAGUGCGAGAGUAACUGCUCGCACCUUGACGGUACCUAACCAGAAAGCCACGGCUAACUACGUGCCAGCAGCCGCGGUAAUACGUAGGUGGCAAGCGUUGUCCGGAAUUAUUGGGCGUAAAGGGCUCGCAGGCGGUUUCUUAAGUCUGAUGUGAAAGCCCCCGGCUCAACCGGGGAGGGUCAUUGGAAACUGGGAAACUUGAGUGCAGAAGAGGAGAGUGGAAUUCCACGUGUAGCGGUGAAAUGCGUAGAGAUGUGGAGGAACACCAGUGGCGAAGGCGACUCUCUGGUCUGUAACUGACGCUGANGAGCGAAAGCGUGGGGAGCGAACAGGAUUA
rnacentral:rRNA from 1 species